rnacentral:lncRNA from 1 species
UGGAGGUUAAGAAAGUCCCACCUCCAGUAUCUCCCAAGCCGAGUCCGCCUCCUACACUGCCCAAACCGGUAAAAAUCAAACUAAUCCAUACAAUCGGAACUCCUGGCUCUCUUCAGGCAGAUGUUCUCAGCCCAUCCAGUGCCUCCUUCAGCCAAGCUCCAUCUGAGCAACUGGAGCAUCCUCCACAGACUAUGAGUCCAGUCACCCCAAAAACCAGUGGAUGGGAGCAUGCUUUCCCCACGUUCAGCAACGUCUCCAGAGCCCACAGACUCCUCAGACACCUCAAACCCCACAAACACCUUCUACACCAGGUUCAGGAUCAGCUCCAGUGAAGCCCCCGAGGUCUUCCAUGGCUGGUCUCUCAGUGGACAUCCCAAGCCCUCUGGAAGUAGAACUGCCUGGAGUGGAUGUGCAAAGGAAGCUAAGAGAAGUAGAGAAACAAAGAGAGGAAGAUGACGGUAGAAGGGAUGAAAGAGUAGAGGAAGUUGGAAUUGCUAGAAUGGAAAGGACAGGUCUGAUCCAGGUGGAUCAAAUGUUUCAAGGUGAACAAGGCCUGAUUUCAGAUACAGGGGAAGGAGGAGGACCAGUGGUAAUGAGAAGGAGAAAGGGGGAUCUGCUUCGGGGGACAUGGUACAACUCAGACUGGAGGAGACCAGUGCAUCCCUGGCUGCUGCUCUGGAAGUAGUAGAGGAAAAGAUUAAGAAGGAUGACAGCUCCAUUGUGGACAACAAGAGCACAGUCAACAUUCUCGAUGACAUUGGCAGCAUGUUUGAUGAUCUUGCGGAUCAGUUGGAGGCCAUGUUAGAUUAAAAACCCAAAGGUAUACCAGAUUCCACAGGGAGUGUGACACACUUAAGCUUCUUGAUGUUUCUCAGUGAGGACCACCAGGAUGCCAUCUCAGCAGGAUUGGAAACUCAAUAGGGCAAAUGAAUCUCUUCCAUUGCGACAUGUUUAAAAGUCAAACUACAACUGAGCAUCUCUAAGAAAAAGCCUAAUUGUUGACUAAUGUUUUUCUCAAAUCCCUUUCAUUCUCCCCCAGCCUUUCCUCUAGUGGCCAGAGUAGGUAUUGCAAGUAUGUAUCCUGACCUGCUGUCAUGCUGCUUCCAGAUAUAAGCACAAAAUUAAGAGAGACUAUGUGACAAGCUUUCUAGAUAUUAUUUAAGCAGAGAAAUGCUAAUAUGUAUGUGUGUGUAUAUGUGUGUACUACACGUCGGGUGAGAGUUGAAUAUCGAUAAAUAUAUUUCUCUUGAUGGCAGUGGUAAGAGCAGUAAGGUAAGUCAUUUUCUCUUUUAUGAUGUUAGGAAGCUGUGUUGUUCUUUUCCACAUCUCUGCUGAGAGCUUGUUCACAUUGUAAAGGGGAACUUUGAAUUUCACCUUGUGGUCUUCAGUUAUGUGUGUUUGUUUGUGUGGUAGGAGGGGAGGUCAGUUUGAGAGUGAGAGAAUUAGGAAGUGUAUGUUUAUAGUUUUGGGAAAGAGACUGUAUGUUUGUCUUCUCUUACAAAAAAUGUGCCAUGUUUUUGGACAUGGUACCAUUUGAAGUAGCUUGGAUGACCAUGUUAAUUCUACAGUACAUGUAUAAAGUAAUCAUACAGUACUGUUGUAUUACCAUCUGAUACCAUAGGACCACCACAGUACUUUUUUUGUUGUAAGGGCUGAGUGUGUGUUAAUCUCUUGGACAGUGCAAUUAUUCCUGUUUUGUCAUGCAAACAAAAAAGGCUUGCUGACAGAAGUUGCAUAUUCUAUACAAGUGGAUAAAAUCAGAUAAUAUAAGACUAUGUCAUCACAAGAUGUAUACGACUACAGAGCAAUAUUUUUAUCCAUGCACCAUGUUAUUAAUUUUAGCUUUAUAAGUGAUAUUUAAAACCAGCCACCUGGGAUACAAGAGAACUGAACAUUUUCCGACAAUCAUGACAAUGUUGUCCUUGAUUAUGACCCUGCAAAGUCAAUAGAAAUAGAUGUUGGAAUAUGAAAUCUUUUACAGUGUGAAACUGUGUAAUAAUCAGUCGUUAUUUUGUGUAAACCUUCAGAUGGCAAAUGUGUUUGUCUGACCCUGGUGAAAAAAAAAAUCAUCAAAGAUCUCUUCCAUGUAAAAAGCAUUGCGAAUAUGUGGAAAUAAAUUAUGAAUAUAAUCACAGUUUUUUAAAUUGCCAUUUAUAUUUUGGUUUGAAUCAUAUUAAGGAAUGUUAUUAAACUUUUGAGAUAGUUUAUAAUAUGCAGUUUUUAGCAAUUCAUCUUAUACUGUAGUUAUUGCCUAUGUUGAAUUUACAUAGCAUUGGUCCUUUGUCAUACAAAUAAAAAAGUAUGAUAAACAAUGGGAGAAUCACAAUCGAUAGAAACCACAUCAGGUAAGUUUGGCCAAGCAAGAAUAUGUCAACCAGCCAUGAAAUAUUAGAACAACAACUCCCAUUGUUGUUGUAUUUUAUUUGUUUUCUAUCAUCUUGAAACAAUCCCAUUCAACAGGACACUAUAGUGCAUUUAUGUAAGUGAGUAUAGCAAAAUAAAGUCAACUGUGACAUAUUAAACCCUCAAAUUCCUCAUACAGUGGACUACCAGUAAAAUGAAUAAAAAAUUAGGGACCAAAAAUUAUUCAGACACUUUGACCUGACCAUGGUUUGCUUAAGUGUUUUUUUUUUUUUCUUUACUUUGUCUAAUUGCGUACCUUUUUACUACCUACCAAAACUGAACAAAAUUAAAACAUUGCUUGGUAAUUGGUCAACAAAGUAUUGAUAGUUGUGUUAAUAUUGUCAUACU